UAGGCGGAAUUUGACUUUUGAGGCGGGGGGGCACAACAUGUUGAUGACCCCAAAACACAGUGUCAGCAAUAAAAUUAACUUACAAAAAUAUUUAUAAUCAUAAGUUGGCAAUGAGCGUUUUUUGUUUACCAUCAUUGUUGAGGGGAAUUCUAAAUCAGGCUGCUUAAAACAGCUAUACUUUUCUCCAAGAUCGUAUGGUACGCCCUCCGGUGUCGUGCCAAUGUAGUUACCCUCGGCAAAAAUUGUACCCCCUGGGCGGAGCCACUGCGCCAGACCCGGCGGCAUGGGCGGGCAUUAGGGGGCCGUGCCCGCCCUGAGGGACGGCUGUGCCCGCCCUAGCUCGAUUAAACUGUACUGUGUAAUUUUUUUAAUUUAUUUUUUUUAAUCUUCCACAAAAACACACACACACGGGGAGAAUGAACCCUAUAUUCCAGUGUUUUUCAAUCGAUUGUGCCGCCGCCGCGAGAAAUUAACCAAUGUCGCUUUUUUUUUAACAUCGUCGGGCAAAGUUGCAGUAGGAAGGAAGGAAGGAAUGUGGAAAAAGUUCUCGGUUGUGUGCAGAUGAGUCGUGUUGCGUUCAAGAACUGCUCGGAUUUCUAGCCGUCAGCCACCUUGCUCUCCGUAACAAUGUGGACCCCAGCACUUCUGCUGUUCAUUAUUUGACUCGUCAAGUGUCGAUAUAUACAAAAGUGUCCUUUCCAUUUUAUCCAUAUGUGACGACCGUUAAUCCUCCCUUUUUGUUUUAUUCCAACACAUUAUCGAGGACAGCUAGGUGGGAGAUACCUAGAAAUCCGAGCAGUUCUUAAAUGCGACACGAGCGGCUAUCUAGCGCCAUGGCGCCAUACAAGCUUAAACUCAUCUCCAAAUGAACCCCCGUCGCUUCAGAACAAGUCGAUGGAUUAUUUUGUACGCCUUCGUGAAAACACAGAGAAAUGGGCAACUUUUUUGAGGAAAACUACAAAGAGUUUCUGACCUGAAUAAUUCCACUGACAUCGCAACAUUGGAUGCUGGGUGAUUACAGAGAUCCCAGGAUCUCAUCAAAAUUCUGGGUUCAAAAUGAUGCGAGGACAUACGUACAAAGGUUCAAAGACUUUGGAGGACUUUGUGUGCAAGAAUCCAGGUCUGGGAAUUGUCCACACACUACAACUACAAACUGUUCGGCGUAGAAGAUUUCUGUGCCACCCUCCCAACAGUCAAGGCAUAUCUAUGGUAACCAUAAACUCAUAAAUUAAGGCUCUACGUUGGGGAACUAGGAAGGAAGUACUAAAAUAAAUUAAGACCAUAUUUUUUCCACCCAUUUUGGAAGAUAAACCCAUAUAUUAUAUAGACCAUUUUAAAUGAAGUUUAAAUAUUUCAUGCUUUUAUUUUUUAGUACGCGCUAGGAAUCUAAUUCAUUUUGAUUGGGCGUGCUUUCGCUGCCAGCCUCUCAAAGUCAAAAUGGAUUGGGUGUCAAGCGCUGUCAAUGGUAGCCAAUGAGUUAAAUGUUGAUGUUAAUGGCUUGCAAAAAUAAGAAACCCUCAAGUUUAAUGUCUCAGAAUUAAAAAAAAAAAACAAAAAAAAAACAUUUUUUGGGCCUUGCAACACAUCAUCUGUUAUUGCAGAAAUGUUGGUAUAGUUUUAGUUGCUGCUUCUGGGAGAUGAUUGGAUGAAAUUUUACCCAUCGAAAUCAAAUCAUGACCCUUUUCUUGUUGCCGCUUUGAAAAUUGUUUAACAAGUGCAACUUCAAGAAGGAUAAUGUUAAGUGCACAUUUCUCACACAUAACAUUAAACAUAACCAAUAAAAGCAUGAAAUAUCCCCCGACCCAAAAAAUUACACUUUGUUCUGGUAUUUGAGUAAAAAUGAGCUUAGAUUUUUUUUUUUUUGCCCAGCAGAAAAAAUGCACGUCUGAAUGGUUUAAGUCUAAUGUCAAAAAUUCAGAACUUCAACCUUAGGGUUAUGUGUAAAAUGACCUAAAAGUAACAAUUGAGUGUCACCCUUUCCAUUUUGCAGUCUUGUCCAUUGUCCUCAACCAUUUUUCCCCUUUCUUAAUAAAAUUCUAUAAAUAAACACUUUCACAGUCUAGGCACAUACAGGUUAGGCUAAUCAAUAAAUUUGCCAUAUAGGAUGUGUGCAUGUUUAGUUAUAUUUCAGGACUAGUUGGUUAAACUUUUAAUUACAUAUUUGGAGUUUUAUGAGAUGGUCCACAUGGUCAUCACCCCCAUAUAGACCCUACUCACAUGACGUCACAACUACGCCCCCGCGCCAUAUUGUCCGUCAACUCAUCGUGUUGACGCAUUACCGCUACGUAAAUUCCUCCUAUUAUGGCGUGUUUUUCUGCUCGUUAACAUUAAUAAUCAAAAUGGUGAAGGCGUGUGUAGCGGUUGGUUGCAAUAACAGAGAAGAUAGACGGAGAGACUUGAAGUUGUACCGUAUUCCGAGAGACCCGGAGAGGAGAGCGAGAUGGACUGCUGCAAUUCGACGAGAAAACUGGGCUCCAAACGAUUACCACAGAUUAUGUAGUAGUCAUUUUAUAUCUGGUAAGAUGCAUUUAAUAUAUAUUUAGAGGGUUUUGGGCUGACAACCACAAUUAAGAUCAUUGCGAGGCUAAUCGCCGACAACAUACAGCUUCAAAUUCAAGAUGCUUAUUUCUUCCACCAUCAUUACAUUUUGAAUAAUAUUUAGCUGGUACCAAGUGAAAGAAGCUGGCCUCGUCUACGGAUCAUCAGUUAAACAGGUGUGUCCAAACCUUUUGCAAAGGGGGCCAGAUUUGGUGUGGUAAAAAUGCGGGGGGCUACCUUGGCUGAUUUACAUAGAACAAUAUAUUUAAACAAAUUUUGGCAAGCCCUUCUGUGUGUCACAUUUGCUUUAUUAUUUUUUUAAAUUCAUAAUUUCAACAGUCUCGUCUUUGUGGCGUUCUCUUUCGACACUCGGGCUCCUGCGAAAUACUGCUGCUGUGAAAUUAAACUAGAUUCAAGUUGCUAUAAUUUCUCGCUUCGUAUCUUCCCUGUAAUGUUGUCGUACAUGUCAGCGUGUCUUGUUCGGUAAUAUCAUUAUUGCGUCACAUCAAACUCUUUGAAAACAGCGACUGUCUCUUUGCAAAUGAGGCAGACACAGUUGUUGCGUGUUUUAUUGAAGAAAUAGUUCAAUAUCCACCUAUCCUUGAAGCGUCGGCCAUCGCAGUCAACCUUUUUUUUUUAUUGAUUGUCGCCAUUUUAGAAAAUUGGAAGUAAAGGGUCACACGGGGUAAUGUUGCUUAGAGUGCUGCUCUUAAAGUUUCUCAAACUUUCGAGAGAAUAGGCUGAUUUUGUGUGGACAAGAUAGUUGUAGAUAUCAGGGUAGCAGAUGUCAGGCAGAGAGGGCGAAGACAGCGGGUCGAAAAAUAUCGAUUUAGGCAUCAAAUAUGGAUCUGGCGAAUGGAUAGACUGAAGCUUUUCCACAUAACGCCUUUUAUGCAACGCAUCCAAUGAGUUUACAGCGUCUGAAAGCACCGGGGCUUCCAUGAAUUGCACUAUAAAUUGCACGACAAAUUGAAACCAUUGAGAAUACGGAUAAACAAAGACGGACAAUAUGGCGGCCGGAUACAGCGACACGUCAUUCUGUGACGUUGGUGAGUAGGGUCUAUAGGUGUCAGUCCCUGAAGUGCAGCUGCGACACCAAGCCUCGACUCCUGAAGAAAUUCAGCAGAUGUCAGAAUUUUCUAAUUUAUUGAAUGUCUUCAGCGAAACUAUCCAUCCUGCAUCAAAUAUUUGGACUUGUUUGAAAUGACAGCAUAGCAUGUUAGUUAUGGUUAAUGUGACAGUACAUCAGCAAUGUGGAGAAAUAAUAAAGGCAAUGAUUGUUUUUCUGCAAAGUAACAUUUUAUUGAUGACCAGUGUAAUACAACACAAAAAAUAAACAGGUAAUUGAUGUACAAAAAAGGACUUCCAGCACAACUAACUUGUUCAUCAAUGCAAAAAAAAAUAAAAACUGUCCGCUGGACACCAAAAUGAGCCACUUAAGGUUAGUAACUUUUUCCCCUAAUACUGGCCAACUGCUCACCAUCAGCAUUCCCUAAAAUGUAAAUUAAUUGUCUUCGGGGAGCUUUAGGGUAAAACGCACGCGAGUAAGGACGAGAGAUGUCUGUUAUUGUUGAGGAACGACACCCCAACCUUCUUCGGAAGUAUCUAGAAGAAAACAGAUGACAACACAAAGGCAAAAUGGUAUUAAAAAAAUAGCUACAAAAGCAUUAAACGAGACACCAGCCGGUGCAAACAGUCUACCUGAGCCCUUAAGAGCGUAAACCAAAGGAACUUGAAUGUGUAAAUUUCGCUUCACUAAUUUGUGCUAAUGCUAAACUAUUCCUUGUGAGUUUAAUGUUGUUAGCAAAUUUAUCCGUGUCCCGCCUUGCCUCCCCUUCCUGAGACCCAAUGCCGUAUUAGCUUAUGGAAAAUGAUGUAGAUAUACUGUAGAUUCAACAUACCUCAACUGGACUUAAGUAAAAAGUUAAAGAAAAUACACCAAAUUACCAAUUUAAUACGUACCUUGUCCUCA